rnacentral:misc_RNA from 1 species
UCCGGCUUGUCACCGGCAGUUUCUUCAGAGUGCCCGGCUCUACCCGGUGGCAACUGAAGAUGAGGGUUGCGCUCGUUGCGGGACUUAACCCAACAUCUCACGACACGAGCUGACGACAGCCAUGCAGCACCUGUGUUCCGGCCAGCCGAACUGAAGAAUGAGGUCUCCCCCACCCAUACCAGCAUGUCAAACCUGGGUAAGGUUCUUCGCGUUGCGUCGAAUUAAACCACAUGCACCACCGCUUGUGCGGGCCCCCGUCAAUUCCUUUGAGUUUCAAUCUUGCGACCGUACUCCCCAGGCGGGAUGCUUAAUGCGUUAGCUGCGCCACUGAAGGGUAAACCCACCAACGGCUAGCAUCCAUAGUUUACGGCGUGGACUAC